rnacentral:rRNA from 1 species
GAUCCUGCUCAGGAUGAACGCUAGCUACAGGCUUAACACAUGCAAGUCGAGGGGCAGCAUGGUCUUAGCUUGCUAAGGCCGAUGGCGACCGGCGCACGGGUGAGUAACACGUAUCCAACCUGCCGUCUACUCUUGGACAGCCUUCUGAAAAGGAAGAUUAAUACAAGAUGGCAUCAUGAGUCCGCAUGUUCACAUGGAUUAAAGGUAUUCCGGUAGACGAUGGGGG